rnacentral:rRNA from 2 species
GGAUACGGCCAUACUGCGCAGAAAGCACCGCUUCCCAUCCGAACAGCGAAGUUAAGCUGCGCCAGGCGGUGUCAGUACUGGGGUGGGCGACCACCCGGGAAUCCACCGUGCCGUAUCCUCUU